CCUACGGGUGGCAGCAGUGAGGAAUAUUGGUCAAUGGACGUAAGUCUGAACCAGCCAUGCCGCGUGCAGGAAGACGGCUCUAUGAGUUGUAAACCUCUUUUGUCAGGGAGCAACGCCGGCUACGUGUAGCCGGACUGAGAGUACCUAAAGAAAAAGCAUCGGCUAACUCCGUGCCAGCAGCCGGGGUAAUACGGAGGAUGCGAGCGUUAUCCGGAUUUAUUGGGUUAAAGGGGUGCGUAGGCGGAAUGCAAAGUCAGCGGUAAAAUCGGGGGGCUAAACCUCGCUCUGCCGUUGAAACUGGCGUUCUUGAGUGGGUGAGAGGUAUGCGGAAUGCGUGGUGUAGCGGUGAAAUGCAUAGAUAUCACGCAGAACUCCGAUUGCGAAGGCAGCAUACCGGCGCCCAACUGACGCUGAAGCACGAAAGCGUGGGUAUCGAACAGGAUUAGAUACCCUGGUAGUC
rnacentral:rRNA from 1 species